rnacentral:rRNA from 1 species
UACGGAGGGGGCUAGCGUUGUUCGGAAUUCCUGGGCGUAAAGCGCGCGUAGGCGGCUUUGUAAGUUAGAGGUGAAAGCCCGGAGCUCAACUCCGGAAUUGCCUUUAAGACUGCAUCGCUAGAAUCAUGGAGAGGGUCGCGGAAUUCCCGGUGUAGAGGUGAAAUUCGUAGAUAUCGAGAGGAACACCUGCGGCGAAGGCGGGUUGCUGGGCUGAUACUGACGCUGAGGCGCGAAAGCCAGGGGAGCGAACGGG